AGGGGUAUAGUGAAAUGGUAUCACGAAGGUCUCCAAAACCUUCAGCCUGGGUUCGAUUCCCAGUACCCCUG
rnacentral:tRNA from 1 species